rnacentral:misc_RNA from 1 species
AACGCACAUUGCGCCCCCUGGUAUUCCGGGGGGCAUGCCUGUCCGAGCGUCAUUACAACCCUCAAGCCUAGCUUGGUGUUGGGCUCCGCCGCCUGGCGGGCCCUAAAGUCAGUGGCGGUGCCGUCCAGCUCCGAGCGUAGUAAUUCUUCUCGCUCUGGAGGCCUGGGCGCGUGCUUGCCAGCAACCCCCCAAUUUUAUCAGGUUGACCUCGGAUCAGGUAGGGAUACCCGCUGAACUUAA